GGAACGCAAGUACAUAUGUCUCCAGAUAUUUAUCCUGCUCUCUGCUAAGAAAAGCUCGGGAUCCACAGCAGAGGCAUUGUGGGAACGACUUCUUCCUCCAUCACAAACUUUGCAGAGUCAGAAUAGGAUGCCACACAUCUGGGAAUGUGAAAGAACGGUGACGCAGCUCAAAAAGAAACGGCUGCAGGAACAACUCAGAGUUUCCACCACAGAUCAAGGUGAACUUUUGACUUCCCUGCCUCACUAACUUGGAGCAAUGCAACUCAGGAGCUACAGUACUGAUGCCAACCCCCGUCUAACUGCCUCCAACUAUCACUGCUGGAAACGCAAAUAAUG